UGCCAGACUCCUACGGGAGGCAGCAGUGGGGGAUAUUGCACAAUGGGGGGAACCCUGAUGCAGCGACGCCGCGUGGGUGAAGAAGCGCCUCGGCGCGUAAAGCCCUGUCAGCAGGGAAGAAAAUGACGGUACCUGACUAAGAAGCCCCGGCUAACUACGUGCCAGCAGCCGCGGUAAUACGUAGGGGGCAAGCGUUAUCCGGAUUUACUGGGUGUAAAGGGAGCGUAGACGGCGGCGCAAGUCCGGAGGGAAGGCCCACGGCCCAACCGUGGAACUGCUCGGGAAACUGUGCGGCUUGAGUGCGGGAGGGGCAGGCGGAAUUCCUAGUGUAGCGGUGAAAUGCGUAGAUAUUAGGAGGAACACCGGCGGCGAAGGCGGCCUGCUGGACCGUAACUGACGUUGAGGCUCGAAAGCGUGGGGAGCAAACAGGAUUAGAUACCCUUGUAA
rnacentral:rRNA from 1 species